GGCUUGCUAUCGGGCUGCUCCGUGCGUCUUUCCCCCCAGGCGUCAGGAACUGCGCCCUCAUGGCGGAGGUGAAGGUGAAGGUGCAGCCGCCCGACGCGGAUCCGGUCGAAAUAGAAAACAGGGUCAGUUGGAUCUCUUAAGGAGCAAUACGGGCCUUUUAUAUAGAAUAAAGGACUCUCAGAAUGCUGGUAAAAUGAAGGGAUCCGAUAACCAAGAAAAACUAGUAUAUCAAAUCAUAGAGGAUGCAGGAAAUAAAGGAAUAUGGAGCAGAGAUAUCCGCUAUAAAAGUAAUUUGCCAUUAACAGAAAUCAACAAAAUUCUGAAGAAUCUGGAAAGUAAAAAGCUUAUCAAAGCUGUUAAGUCUGUAGCAGCCUCAAAAAAGAAGGUGUAUAUGCUCUAUAACCUGCAGCCAGACCGGUCUGUGACUGGUGGAGCCUGGUACAGUGACCAGGAUUUUGAAUCUGAAUUUGUAGAGGUGCUUAACCAACAGUGUUUUAAAUUCCUACAGUCCAAGGCAGAAACAGCACGAGAAAGCAAACAGAACCCAAUGAUACAAAGAAAUAGUUCAUUUGCCUCAUCACAUGAAGUGUGGAAAUAUAUCUGUGAAUUGGGAAUCAGUAAGGUUUUUGAUGACUGCCACGAAGGUGGUGAGAUUUCACCAUCUAACUGUAUUUACAUGACAGAGUGGCUCGAAUUUUAAUAGAG
rnacentral:sRNA from 1 species